UACGAAGGGUGCAAGCGUUACUCGGAAUUACUGGGCGUAAAGCGUGCGUAGGUGGUUUGUUAAGUCUGUUGUGAAAGCCCCGGGCUCAACCUGGGAAUGGCAAUGGAUACUGGCAAGCUAGAGUGCGGUAGAGGGUAGUGGAAUUCCCGGUGUAGCGGUGAAAUGCGUAGAGAUCGGGAGGAACACCAGAGGCGAAGGCGGCGACCUGGACAGGCACUGACACUCAACUACGAAAGCGUGGGGAGCAAACAGG
rnacentral:rRNA from 1 species